AUAUGUGUGGAAGAGAGACGGAAGGAGAGGAGAAAAUGAUUAGAGGGGAGAAGGAGAAGAGUGAAAGAGGAGUAGUAUUUAGUGACCAGAACUGUAUGGAGUGUAUCUUUUGCGUGUGUGUGUGUGUGUGUGUGUGUGUGUGUGUGUGUGUGUGUGGGUGGGGGGGGGGGUAUCUAUAUAGUUUGUAUCUAUAUUAAGUUAAUGUUUGGUGUGUGUCUAUUUGGUGUGUUUAUCUUUAUGUUGUGUAUCUAUAUGGUGUGUAACUAUGGUGUAUGUGUAUCUGGUGUAUACCUAUGGUGUGCGUUGUGGCGUCCCGCCCCUUAAACCUCGGCCCUGACGGGCCCGAGGUUUCAUCCUGGACGGAAGAUACGACCGUCACCCACCAGCUGGCGACGGAGAGCACCUACCGAACCCCAAUCAGCGAGAUGGGAGACACCUGGCUGGACAGCCAGGAAGAGACUUUAAAAGGAGCAUGAGGACUGACAUUUGCGAGGAACGGGAGCCAGAGAGAAGGAAGCGCUCGGGUCCGCGAGGGGCUAGAGGCUCACGGAGACCCUAGAGUACGUUAAAGACUUUUUGAAGUAAAGAGGAGCAUCUCAUCUGAACCUGAUGUCUAUCUUGGAUAUUUAACUGCAGUUCUGUGAGUAUCCCAACUUAACCAUGAAGAUGAACUGCAAACUGUAAGUCAUUAAUUUCUCAUUACUCUUGGGCACAUUGAUGUAUUUUGGCUUCCUGGUGAGUUAACCUGUUACCUGAUUGUUGUUCUGAGUAGUAAGGAUGUUUUAUUGGUUCAUGGGUUACUUAGGUGUUUGGUUGAUGUUGGUUUUAAUGAUUUGUUAAAAUGGUUACAGGCUCCAGUUAUUGUAAGCUGGAAUAAUGGGUUGGGUUCUGAUUUCGUCAGUCUUCUUUCAUUCUACUCUCCUGAGCUCUGCAUCUGCAUCACAUGAGUGUUGCUUUACUGAUGAGCGUGUGGUCUGAGUGAGCAGAGGUGCAUACUGGGAAACUGAGCUUUCUGAAGUCUACAGGUCUGUAGACACGCCUCCUCAGGGGAAACCAAGUGUUUGAGAAACUGUCGUGACGUCAGUUACAUGGACUGGAAUGUUCUUAAAGAUGGACACAGGGAUUCAGAAGGAGAAACACCAUGGGAAGAUGAGGGGGCUCCUCAUCUCAACGACUAAAACAAAACUUCAGUCUGACACAGAGAACCAUGGAACGCAUUCAACAGUCCCCUCCAGGCAUCGUGACUCCUCAGGAACAGUUUCAUUUCCAUGAAGGUCUUAUUUGGGGCCAUCCCCAGAUGGAUCCUGCUCCUCAAGAGCCACCCCACUCCA